UCGAUUACAUGCUCAAUUGUCAGGGUUGCCAUUUACCAGAUGGCAGCGGCUUUCCCGCACGACAGGUGCCAGAUUUGCGUAAUCGGA
rnacentral:tRNA from 1 species